CCCCUCAGAGGAACUCCUCCACUCUGAACACCUGGGUCCCAGUGAAUUGGAAGCCCCUGCCCCUGGGGGCAGCAGCGAGGACAAGGGUGGGCUGCAGCCUCCAGAUUCCAAGGAUGAGACACCCCCAUGACCCUUCCAAAAGGUCCACAGAACAAGAUGCUGCAUCCCCUGAGAAAGAGAAGAUGAACCCGCUGGAACAGUAUGAGCGAAAGUGAAUGCGUCUGUUCCAAGGGGUUUCCCUUUCCACUCAUCGGAGAUUCAGAGGGAUGAGCUGCACCAGCUGGGACAGGGGUGUCCCGUGAGGCUGUGUCGGGUCU
rnacentral:lncRNA from 1 species